rnacentral:rRNA from 1 species
UAAGUCCCUUGGAACAGGGCGUCAUAGAGGGUGAGAAUCCCGUAUGCGGCCGGUGAUCGAAKUCCAUGUGAAACCCCUUUCGACGAAKUCGAGUUGUUUGGGAAAUSMASYUCUAAAUGGGUGGUAAAUUUCAUCUAAAGCUAAAUACUGGCCAGAGACCGAUAGCGCACAAGUAGAGUGAUCGAAAGAUGAAAAGCACUUUGGAAAGAGAGUUAAACAGUACGUGAAAUUGUUGAAAGGGAAGCGCUUGCAACCAGACCUGUCGUCGGGUGAUCAGCCGUCGUUUUCGGCGGUGCACUCGCCCGGUCGCAGGCCAGCAUCGGUUUGGGCGGUUGGAUAAAGGCCGCGGGAACGUAGCCCCCCUCGGGGAGUGUUAUAGCCCACGGUGCAAUGCAGCCAGCCCGGACCGAGGAUCGCGCUUCGGCUAGGAUGCUGGCGUAAUGGUUGUAAGCGGCCCGUCUUGAAACACGGACCAAGGAGUCUAACAUCUACGCGAGUGGUUUGGGUGUCAAACCCAUGCGCGGAAUGAAAGUGAACGGAGGUGAGACCCCUUAAAGGGCGCAUCAUCGACCGAUCCAGAUGUCUUCGGAUGGAUUUGAGUAAGAGCGUAGCUGUUGGGACCCGAAAGAUGGUGAACUAUGCCUGAAUAGGGUGAAGCCAGAGGAAACUCUGGUGGAGGYUCGCAGCGGUUCUGACGUGCAAAUCGAUCGUCAAAUUUGGGUAUAGGGGCGAAAGACUAA